rnacentral:rRNA from 1 species
UACGGAGGGUGCAAGCGUUAUCCGGAUUUACUGGGUUUAAAGGGUGCGUAGGUGGGUCUGUAAGUCAGUGGUGAAAUCUCCGAGCUUAACUCGGAAACUGCCAUUGAUACUAUAGCUCUUGAAUUAUCUGGAGGUGAGCGGAAUAUGUCAUGUAGCGGUGAAAUGCUUAGAUAUGACAUAGAACACCAAUUGCGAAGGCAGCUCACUACGGAUUGAUUGACACUGAGGCACGAAAGCGUGGGGAUCAAACAGG